CUUUCUGGGUCUCAUCUUGGACAAGGAUCCAGCUGUGCUUCUCACCAUCCCGACUCCCAUGUGCUGCUGAUUCUGGAGAAGACCCAGGAGUUGAACAGCUAUUUGAAUCUACCCAGAUUAUAAUCUGAAGCUACCCUGAAUCCCCUCCAGUAGACGACAGAUGACUUUGAUCACGACACCAACACUUACCUGGGUAAGAACCCAGGGGAUUUACAAAGAUUUUUGGCUUGCCAGAGCCCUUCAACUGGAAGCAUCAUUUUCAGAUUCAAGGUUCAUAAAUGGAAGGGACUU